rnacentral:tRNA from 1 species
GAACAUGUAGCCAAAUGGUAAGGCAGAGGUCUGCAAAACCUCUAGUUGCGGGCGCUGACGAUUGGUAUCAGCAUGCCGGCCAAUCGCCGGCAUUCGAGUCCCGCCAUGUUCU